rnacentral:lncRNA from 10 species
GAAGAGUUGUCUCAUCAGGUGCCACUAAGGAAAACUUUCUCCAUCAAGCUGCCUGCUGUGCACGUUGCCUGGGCUUUGCCUACCCCUGGUGCUGCAUCUGCCUGUGUUCUGUCUUCUGGUUCUGCUGUGCUGUGGGGGAGGGGACGCUUGUACUCCUCUCCUUUUGGCAGGAAGAGUCACUUCCACAUUGAGGUCAGAAUUGAAAAUGGAUUUCCCCGUUGGGCAGAGGGAUGGAGGCCUGCACUUCCUGUGUAGUGUAAUUAAUCGCUGCCCCUUCCCUGCCUGCAGCCGUCCAGGCUCAGGGCCGGCCCUGAUUAACCAUUUCCUGCCCAACGUUGUGAAGGCUACGAAAGACCUGUGUGAGCUUUCGCAUCCUUCCUUCCUACAAGUUCGCUAUUAAUCUCUUGUAGGCCAUCCCUCAGGUUAGGGAGCUCUCUGUGCUGGGCUCGUUUCUGCUGUGUGGGGAGAACUCAGUGCCCAAGAGGCUCCAUGGAGCAGAAAAGCCUGAGUCCAGAGGAAGAGGGGCAGGAGCUGAGGAAGCGAGGACGGCAGGGCCCUGCUUACGGAGCAAAUUUAGUCCAUCUUUCUCACUCCCUUCCCAUGCCCAUGGCUAUGUCAUCUCAAAUGGACAGGGCUCAAAAGAAGGCUUCUCUUCGCCCUUCUAGCUGCCUGAUUUUCAUGUCAUCUGAAGGUACAGUGAGUAAAGAACAUGACCUCAGAGAUGACAUUUGGAAGCCUUUAGGUUGGUUUGAAUUCCUGCAACUUCGGAGCCGUCCCUUUCUCACAUGUGCAUAAGCCAUGACAUUUGAGAGCUGGAAAGGACAGGAUUGUUCGUAUUGUUCAAUGCCCUCAUUUUUGCACAUGUGGGAAGUGAGGUAUAGAGAAAGGCGGAGUGACUUGUCUAGUGGCAGUUAGCUCGUGAGUAGCAGGAUCAAGAUGGGAACCCGGGUCUUCAUGAACUCUCCGAAUGCUUCUUUCAGCAGUUACUUUGGAAUUAGAACCGAUUAAAGUGUUUGCUGCCUUGAUGUGGGGUGUGAGUUGUGUUCCACAGACACAGAGCUCGGUGGAUUAAUGGUGUGCUGGAACGUGUUUAACUGUGGGCUCUCUGAGGGGAAAAAGCGUGAUUAUCCAUAACUUCUCAGAAAAUUUCUGAAAAUUUAGAAUCAGCUCUUGUGAGCUGAUAGAAGCAACCUCCAGCGUGUCACUAGCAGAAGAUCAAUGGGAUGGUGCUUAGCCUGGCUUUACUCUUCUCAGUGUAUACCCA